GUACUUACCUGCAGCCGGGAAUCGUUGAUCACUGAAGACGAGCCCCCAGGGCGAGGUGCGGGCAUUGGACUGCGCUCGUGUUGACCCCUGCCACUGCCCGAAACUGGGGCAGAUGGGGCGUUCGAAUUGUCUAAAUGUGGUUCAACGCGAGAGGGCGCCACCGCC
rnacentral:snRNA from 1 species